rnacentral:lncRNA from 1 species
GAUUAUGAGAAAGAUGGAUUUAAUUAAUAGACCAAUACUAUAUCAUAGUCUAAUUGGUAGAUUAUCGACCAGGAUUGUAUUUAAAAUAUUUAUUUCAUGCUUGCUAGAAUUUGUAGUCGUAGAAGUCAGCUGGUGAAGUUUCGGGUGGAGAAGAUCGAUAAAUGUGAUUGUUUAGUGCACUGGAGUUUUGCAAAUUAGUGAAAUUUUGGUGAAAAGUAGUAUUUAAUAUGAUUUAGAUUGUUGAGGUUGUGUUUGAGGAGUGUUAGAGUGUUUUUGCUAUGAAAACAGCACGAAAACAGAGUUUAGAGUGCAUAAUUUGAACAAUAUGCAAAAAUACAGAUUUUUGUA